rnacentral:rRNA from 1 species
UACGUAGGGUGCGAGCGUUAAUCGGAAUUACUGGGCGUAAAGCGUGCGCAGGCGGCGCGUUAAGACAGGUGUGAAAGCCCCCGAGCUUAACUUGGGAAUUGCGCUUGUGACUGGCGUGCUGGAGUGUGGCAGAGGGAGGUGGAAUUCCACGUGUAGCAGUGAAAUGCGUAGAGAUGUGGAGGAACACCGAUGGCGAAGGGCAGCCUCCUGGGCCAGCACUGAC